rnacentral:rRNA from 1 species
AAUAGAUACCCUGGUAGUCCACGCCGUAAACGUUGGAUACUAGGUGUGGCGGUUAUACCAAUGACUGCCGUGCCGAAGCUAACGGCAUUAAGUAUCCCGCCUGGGGGAGUACGGCCGCAAGGACUAAAACUCAAAGGAAUUGACGGGUCCCCGCACAAGCGGCGGAGCAUGCGGCUUAAUUCGAUGCAACCCGAAGAACCUUACCUGGGUUUGACAUCACGGGAAAAGCUGUAGAAAUACAGUGUCCAUUAGGGCCCGUGACAGGUGGUGCAUGGCUGUCGUCAGCUCGUGUCGUGAGAUGUUGGGUUAAGUCCCGCAACGAGCGCAACCCUUGUCCUAUGUUGCCAGCGGUUCGGCCGGGGACUCAUAGGAGACUGCCGGGGAUAACUCGGAGGAAGGUGAGGACGACGUCAAGUCAUCAUGCCCCUUAUAUCCAGGGCUGCACGCAUGCUACAAUGGCCGGUACAACGGGCAGCGACCCCGCGAGGGUGAGCGAAUCCUAAAAAGCCGGUCCUAGUUCGGAUUGAAGUCUGCGACUCGACUU